rnacentral:rRNA from 1 species
AGCGAACGCUGGCGGCAGGCUUAACACAUGCAAGUCUAGCGGGCAUCCUUGUGGUGUCAGCGGCAGACGGGUGAGUAACGCGUGGGAACGUGCCCUUCGGUUCGGAAUAACUCAGGGAAACUUGAGCUAAUACCGGAUACGUGCGAGAGCAGAAAGGUUUAUCUGCCGAAGGAUCGGCCCGCGUCUGAUUAGCUAGUUGGUGAGGUUAUGGCUCACCAAGGCGACGAUCAGUAGCUGGUCUGAGAGGAUGAUCAGCCACACUGGGAGUGAGACACGGCCCAGAAUCCUACGGGGGGCAGCAGGGGGGAAUAGUGGACGAUGGGGGCAACCUUGAGCAAGCCAUGCAGCGUGAGUGAUGACGGCGUUAGGGUUGUAAAGCUCUUUUAUCCGGGACGAUAAUGACGGUACAGGAGGAAUAAGCCCAGGCUAACUUCGUG